UGAGCAAUCUGCCCUUCUCUUCGGAAUAAGCGUGGGAAACCGCGUCUAAUGCCGAAUACGACCUCCUUUCGCAUGAUCGGAGGUGGAAAGCUCCGGCGGAGAAGGAUGAGCUCGCGGCCUAUCAGCUAGUUGGUGUGGGUAAUGGCCCACCAAGGCGACGACGGGUAGCCGGCCUGAGAGGGUGACCGGCCACACUGGGACUGAGACACGGCCCAGACCUCCUACGGGAGCAGCG
rnacentral:rRNA from 1 species